rnacentral:rRNA from 1 species
UUUACCNGAGUACUAUGAAUGCUUAAAAAUUUAAAACUCAAAGAACUUGGCGGUGUUUUAGACCACCCAGGGGAACCUGUCUCGUAAUCGAUAAUCCACGUUGCACCUGACCCCUUUUUGUUUUCAGUUUGUAUACCGUUGUCGCCAGGUAACUUUUUAGAAGCUAGAAGUUAGCAAUUAAAAUAUUGAUAAUUUAGUAUGUCAAAUCAAGGUGCAGCUAAUAAAGGGGGGAGGAUGGGUUACAAUUAUAUAAUUUAUAAUGACGGAUAAAUAUAUGGAUAUAUAUUAAGUUAUAAGGAGGACUUGGAAGUAAAUUAGAGUAUGUAGAUAAUUUGAAUUAGGCUCUGAGACGUGU